rnacentral:other from 1 species
CGUUCCCUGCGAGAGCCUUACUCCCGGUCUCCAAUAUAUUGAUCCGAUAGUCAAUGUCAUUGGAGUCUGACUCGUAUUAGCGCCCGUGCGCAUGCUCCGGGGUCUUAGACUCUGCGGAGAAGCCUAAAGGUGCUCGGAGGACUCCCCCCUGGUCUCAUAGGGGUCAAUGACGGAGGUCGGCUGGAGGUUCUCGCAGGGAGCGC